GUCCAAAGAGCUCUUGAUGCAGUCCGGCUCUCCUCCUCUGCCUCUCCCUGAAGGAAUGCUGGUCUUGACCACACACACUGUCAGCACAGGACCUCUGCCUUGAACUUUAUGCCUCGGACUUGAGCUUCAUGAGCCCCUCGACGGCCCCUCUGCAGCUGCAUUGGGCCACACACAGUUGCAGUUCUGUGCUGGGAGGUGACAGGCGCGGAGCUGGCACUGGAUCUGUGAGUACUUCUCCUCUGCAAAGUCAAACAGGAAAAGACACCCUUAAUGGGCACAUCAGUGGUGUUGGCAGGAUGCUGGAAUAGGGCAGCUGCAUUAAUGGUGCCACUCAGCUUCUUGGUUGGCCUCCUUCCUGCAUCGAAACCCCGCGGGACCGUCAGGCCGUAGGGAUGCUCGAGGACAAGGCAGAGGCUCCCUCCUAAGCAAACGCCACGCUGUGUUUGAGCGUAACGCCAGAUGGUUCGUCUGCCGCUGCAGAGAUGCCAUCAAACACGGCCUGGCACAGCUCGCUGCAGGCAGCCCUGAAAUACCCCAGAGCAGGGGCAAAAGGCAGCAA